rnacentral:snRNA from 1 species
GUGCUUGCUUCCACAGCACGUGUACUAAAAUUGGAAUGAUACAGAGAAGAUUAGCAUGGCCGCUGUGCAAGGAUGACACAUGAAGCGUUCCCUACUAAA